CGGCACGGGUGAGUAACACGUGAGUGACCUGCCUUUUAGACUGGAACAACUUACCGAAAGGUGAGCUAAUGCCGGAUGAGUUAUAUAAGUGCAUGUUUAUAUAGGAAAAGUUGGGGAGACCUGACGCUGAAAGAUGGACUCGCGUCCCAUUAGCUAGUUGGUAGGGUAAUGGCCUACCAAGGCGACGAUGGGUAGCCGGCCUGAGAGGGUGGCCGGCCACAUUGGGACUGAGACACGGCCCAAACUCCUACGGGAGGCAGCAG
rnacentral:rRNA from 1 species